UACGGAGGAUGCGAGCGUUAUCCGGAUUUAUUGGGUUUAAAGGGUGCGUAGGCGGAUCGUUAAGUCAGUGGUCAAAUUGAGGGGCUCAACCCCUUCCCGCCAUUGAAACUGGCGAUCUUGAGUGGAAGAGAAGUAUGCGGAAUGCGUGGUGUAGCGGUGAAAUGCAUAGAUAUCACGCAGAACCCCGAUUGCGAAGGCAGCGUACCGGCGCCCUACUGACGCUGAAGCACGAAGGCGUGGGUAUCGAACAGG
rnacentral:rRNA from 1 species